CGGGCACAGAGGGAAGCCAGGUGGCGACACCGCGCGGAACCCGAAAGCCGUUCUCAGUUCGGAUCGGAGUCUGCAACCCGACUCCGUGAAGCUGGAUUCGCUAGUAAUCGCGCAUCAGCCAUGGCGCGGUGAAUACGUUCCCGGGCCUUGUACACACCGCCCGUCAAGCCAUGGGAGCCGGGGGGUGCUUGAAGUGCGUCGCCGCAAGGCGCGCCCUAGAGCAAAACCGGUGACUGGGGCUAAGUCGUAACAAGGUAGC
rnacentral:rRNA from 1 species